rnacentral:misc_RNA from 1 species
ACAAUUAUGUUAACAAAAAUCUAAGAGGAGAGCUCCACCUACAGCCUAAAUUGCAAAUGGAGAUCCUUCGAUAGGCUUCCAGUGACAUCUCCCUCCGCUUCUUGGGGAGCUGUAACCCGAAGCCUUUUUGCAGCUUGCUGUUCGUCUGAUUCUGCCAUAGCAUUAUCCUCCACUGUUUGCUUCUCAUUUGAUUCUGCCAUCACAUUAUCCCUGACUGUUUGCUUCUCAUCUGAUUCUACCAUCACAUUAUCCUUGAUCGUUUGCUUCUCAUCUGAUACUGCCAUCACAUCAUCACUCAUAGUUUGCAUGUCACCGGCAGUGAUCUCUGCCUU